UUAGGGUAGUCACCAUCUGAUUACAGGAGAUGGCCAGUUCCAGCUCCCUGUCCACUCUUGUGUUAGCUGGAGUCAUCCUUGUGGAUUCCUGGGAGUUUUCCUGGCACCAGGUUUCUUCCUAACCCUGAAAUGGUCCCACAGUUAAACAUAUAGGGAGGAGGCUGAAGAAGCAAGGACUCCAUGAAGGUGGAAUGCCUGCUGACGACUGCCCCAGUCCAUGGCAGAUACACUUCUCUAAAUACAUAUCUGUGCCUGUGGAGUCUGGAGCACUUAAAGUCACCUUGGGGCAGAGGACACACUGAGCUGGACUGACUGUCUGCCUUUCACCAAACCUGGGUCCAGCGUGUUCUUCGGUGUGAGGGGAGCACACUUAUGUAGAUAUGUUGAAUCUAAUAUGAUUGCCAGGAGUCUGGAAACCCCUGCAACAAGAAACCACAGGAAGGGUGACAGAGAUAAAAGGAAUUUUCACAUUUUUUUUUUCAUCUGAUUCUGUAAAACAAACCUGGCUCUUUGCAGUUCCCUCUGUUCAAAAAGGGAACAGGGUGUGUAUUGUUUAGAAGUCACAGCCCUUACCUGGGCUGUACCCAUGUGCACUCACUCUGUGACUGUGGUUGCUUUUCAUGCAUUUAGACUGUUCUGUACUCAGCCCACAUUGGCUGUUUUGAAUAUUGAAUGUCAUCCCUGGCUUUAGCAGAAGAAAAAAUGUCAUCAAAAUAGAACUUCUCUCAUAAGAACAUGCUUGGAUUGUCUGCUCCCCCUUUAUUAUUUCCAUUCUCUCUCUCCUCCUCCUCCCCUUCCUUCUCCUCCUCCUCUUCAUUCUCUUCCUCCUUUUUCUCUUCUUCUUCCUCCUCCUUCUCUUUCUCCCCUCCAUUCCCCCUCCCACUCUUCUCCUUUUUAUCCUCCUCCUUCUCCUCCUCCUUCUCCCUCUUCCUCUCCUUCUCCUUUUGUUGGUCAUUUUUCUAAUAUAAUUGUAUGGAGAUAAUAAACAUUAUAUCUGGCACUGUCAA